CCUGGUCUGGUGGUGUCCAGUUUGCAAAUUAACUCCAAUUCUGCAGUUUCUCAUUGGACUCUGUUUUUGAAGAUUUUUUGUUGGAGGAGUAUUGCGACUUUAAGGUCUGUAAAUGAGUAACCACGGAGGCUGAAGUGUUCUCCAACUUUAUUUUUUGAAUGUUACAAUUCUUGAUGUCUGAUUUGUGUC